CGCUGGCGGCGUGCCUAACACAUGCAAGUCGAACGGGGGUUGUUCCUUCGGGGGACAACUUAGUGGCGAACGGGUGAGUAACGCGUGAGGAACCUACCUCUCAGUGGGGGACAACAGUUGGAAACGACUGCUAAUACCGCAUAAGCGCACAGUACCGCAUGGUAAUGUGUGAAAAACUCCGGUGGCAUACGAUGGACCCGCGUCUGAUUAGCUAGUUGGUGAGGUAACGGCCCACCAAGGCGACGAUCAGUAGCCGGCCUGAGAGGGUGAACGGCCACACUGGGACUGAGACACGGCCCAGACUCCUACGGGAGACAGCAGUUAGGAAUAUUCGUCAAUGGGGGAAACCCUGAACGAGCAAUGCCGCGUGAAGGAUGACGGUCCUAUGGAUUGUAAACUUCUGUUGUUAGGGAAGAACGACUAGUGUAGGAAAUGACACUAGAGUGACGGUACCUUUCAAGAAAGCUCCGGCUAACUACGUG
rnacentral:rRNA from 1 species